AGAUGAGGGCAUUGGAUUCCAGCUGAAUCACGCGCUGCGGCGCCCCCUGGCAGCUCCAAGUGCUGCUCUCGCCUGGAGUUGGAUGGUGGCCAUUUUGUUAUCAAAAGCUAUGGCUGGGCAGAUGACUCCUUAAUUAUCGGAGAAUCAAAGUGGACGGAGAUUCAAAAGCAUGGCAAGUAGUGACCUGCCAUUCAUCUGGCCCCAGUGCAACACAAACCAGAUGGACACGGCCCGUCACCAAGUAACAUCUCCAGAAAGCCGCGUCCCCCUGCCAGUCCUCCCACCCCAGAGUCAGAGGAAGAUGAAAGGUACAGCCAUGGGGAGACCGGUUGUGCCAAACAGCGCCAGAUCUGAUCUGAUGAACAACUGCACAGGGAAGGAAUCAAAGUGGCUGGAGGCGCUUGGUGUUUUAGUUGAACAGAAGCUGUUGGAAGAUCGACUCCAGUAGGCUGUAAGAGGAGAGAGGCUGGGGAAUGCAGUGGAUAUUACUACUGUAGCUAAAUAGACAAAAAAUAAGAAGUUAUCAAUUCCAUCACUAUAGUGUGUUGAUUAGCUGGGUCUUAUAUAGUCAUAUAAUAGGUCAUAUACUGUAUUUCAUUCUUAUUAAUACUAGGCCUAUUUUGUUAAUCGUUUUUAAUUACCUUUUGUUGAAUGUAUAUCACUAAUAUGUACAUAAAGUGUGUUCAUGAAC